UUUUAAGCCACGACCAGGGAGAGAAAUUUAUUAACAACUAAAGUAAGAUACAACUUUACAAGGCCGAAAGGAUUUUUGAAUUGUCGUAGAAACCAUAUUUAAAGUAGAAGUUGUAGAGAGUUUCGACAAGGCAACAAAAGAGAACUCUUCAGAGCGCUCUCCAUAGAUCAAAAAUACAGAUUUACUUCAUGUUAUUUUCUCAUGAACUUUAUAUCUACAACCUUCUUUUGUAUUUUAAGAAGAAACUCUGCAAUUGGUACAAACAAGUACUGUAAAUUUGUGUGUUUUGGCAUCAACCAUAAUUCGACUGUCAAUACGACAAACAAGGACCCCUGCUAGAAAGAGCAUUACACUGUACUAUACAAGAUACAAAGGAAACUCCAACAAUAAUUUGUAAAGAUACAGUGGCAAACAAAAAAAAUGAAGACGGGAACUGACUAUGGGCUCCAAGCUGGGUUACAGCAUCAACAAAUCUUUCGUGGAGCUCCAAAGUCCACCUUAGUCCGGGCUUUGGAUCCGUCGUGAGAACAACACAUGGAUCCCCAACCAAGUUGGUGCCAUCAAAUGGAUACUCCCUUCCACUCCCAUCCAAUGCCAAACUGUGUAUGGGCAUAGCAGAAUACAUUUUUCAAUCCCUAAUCGAUUUUUUCUUGAAAAAUUUUCAAAAGGUGAGGGUAAGGGCCCGAAAACAGGAAAUGGGUCGGGCCUUAUAGGGCCCGUGACAGUUGGAAUGGUUUGGGAACGGCAAACAACGUAAAUAUAGCUUAAUUCUAUAAACGAUACAAAAAUGUUCUGUUGUGUACUGUCAUUGUCUGUUUUUUUCAACAUUUUUUAACAUUUCGACUCUGUCUUCGUCUCAAUCUAGCUUUUAUAGGUGCAGUCUAGGAUGACUGCUUUGUGACUGGGCUAGAGAGUAGAGAGAGAGGGAGGAGGGACGAGAGCGAGAGAGCCUUGCUGGCGUUUUG
rnacentral:lncRNA from 1 species